GACGAACGCUGGCGGCGUGCCUAAUACAUGCAAGUAGAACACUGAAGGAGGAGCUUGCUUCUCUGGAUGAGUUGCGAACGGGUGAGUAACGCGUAGGUAACCUGCCUGGUAGCGGGGGAUAACUAUUGGAAACGAUAGCUAAUACCGCAUAAUGGUAGAUGUUGCAUGACAUUUGCUUAAAAGGUGCAAUUGCAUCACUACCAGAUGGACCUGCGUUGUAUUAGCUAGUUGGUGGGGUAACGGCUCACCAAGGCGACGAUACAUAGCCGACCUGAGAGGGUGAUCGGCCACACUGGGACUGAGACACGGCCCAGACUCCUACGGGAGGCAGCAGUAGGGAAUCUUCGGCAAUGGACGGAAGUCUGACCGAGCAACGCCGCGUGAGUGAAGAAGGUUUUCGGAUCGUAAAGCUCUGUUGUAAGAGAAGAACGAGUGUGAGAGUGGAAAGUUCACACUGUGACGGUAUCUUACCAGAAAGGGACGGCUAACUACGUG
rnacentral:rRNA from 1 species